rnacentral:lncRNA from 1 species
CUUAUUUAAAUCAAAAUUGUGAUUCGUCGCCUUUGGACUGUCAUAGAUCACCCCUAAAAGCUUUUAAACCUUGGUAUUCCUGCUUCAGAGCUGCAGUUUGACAUAAACUGUUAAAAGGAAGGAUGUUGAAAUAUGGAUGUUUUGGAGGAAGUGCCACAAAAGGCUCAUAUUAUUUAGAAUAAAUAUUCUUAUUUUGUGUUUGGUACAGGAUGGUUCUACAGACAGCCUGUACGAGCCGGCCCAGAUUGGCCAGAACACUCAAGAUUUAUUACCCAGAAGGCUGCCUAGUCCCAACUCUGUGAAGAACAUAAGUGUGUGGAGUGGAUCUGAGCCCUGCAUCGCCACGAAGCUUCCAGAGACUCACACAAGUAAGACUCAAGAAAGUAAGAUUUUGGAAAAGGCAAAGAGAAAGUAA